GGUUAAGCGACUAAGCGUACACGGUGGAUGCCCUGGCAGUCAGAGGCGAUGAAGGACGUGCUAAUCUGCGAAAAGCGUCGGUAAGGUGAUAUGAACCGUUACAGCCGGCGAUGUCCGAAUGGGGAAACCCAGUGCAAUUCGUUGCACUAUCGUUAACUGAAUACAUAGGUUAACGAGGCGAACCGGGGGAACUGAAACAUCUAAGUACCCCGAGGAAAAGAAAUCAACCGAGAUUCCCCCAGUAGCGGCGAGCGAACGGGGAGCAGCCCAGAGUCUGAAUCAGCUUGUGUGUUAGUGGAACGGUCUGGAAAGUCCGACGGUACAGGGUGAUAGUCCCGUACACCAAAAUGCACAGGUUGUGAACUCGAAGAGUAGGGCGGGACACGUGGUAUCCUGUCUGAAUAUGGGGGGACCAUCCUCCAAGGCUAAAUACUCCUGACUGACCGAUAGUGAACCAGUACCGUGAGGGAAAGGCGAAAAGAACCCCGGCGAGGGGAGUGAAAAAGAACCUGAAACCGUGUACGUACAAGCAGUGGGAGCACCUUCGGGUGUGACUGCGUACCUUUUGUAUAAUGGGUCAGCGACUUAUAUUCUGUAGCAAGGUUAACCGUAUAGGGGAGCCGCAGGGAAACCGAGUCUUAACUGGGCGUUAAGUUGCAGGGUAUAGACCCGAAACCCGGUGAUCUAGCCAUGGGCAGGUUGAAGGUUGGGUAACACUAACUGGAGGACCGAACCGACUAAUGUUGAAAAAUUAGCGGAUGACUUGUGGCUGGGGGUGAAAGGCCAAUCAAACCGGGAGAUAGCUGGUUCUCCCCGAAAGCUAUUUAGGUAGCGCCUCGUGAACUCAUCUUCGGGGGUAGAGCACUGUUUCGGCUAGGGGGUCAUCCCGACUUACCAACCCGAUGCAAACUACGAAUACCGAAGAAUGUUAUCACGGGAGACACACGGCGGGUGCUAACGUCCGUCGUGAAGAGGGAAACAACCCAGACCGCCAGCUAAGGUCCCAAAGUCAUGGUUAAGUGGGAAACGAUGUGGGAAGGCACAGACAGCCAGGAUGUUGGCUUAGAAGCAGCCAUCAUUUAAAGAAAGCGUAAUAGCUCACUGGUCGAGUCGGCCUGCGCGGAAGAUGUAACGGGGCUAAACCAUGCACCGAAGCUGCGGCAGCGACACUAUGUGUUGUUGGGUAGGGGAGCGUUCUGUAAGCCUGCGAAGGUGUGCUGUGAGGCAUGCUGGAGGUAUCAGAAGUGCGAAUGCUGACAUAAGUAACGAUAAAGCGGGUGAAAAGCCCGCUCGCCGGAAGACCAAGGGUUCCUGUCCAACGUUAAUCGGGGCAGGGUGAGUCGACCCCUAAGGCGAGGCCGAAAGGCGUAGUCGAUGGGAAACAGGUUAAUAUUCCUGUACUUGGUGUUACUGCGAAGGGGGGACGGAGAAGGCUAUGUUAGCCGGGCGACGGUUGUCCCGGUUUAAGCAUGUAGGCUGGUUAUCCAGGCAAAUCCGGAUAAUCAAGGCUGAGGUGUGAUGACGAGGCACUACGGUGCUGAAGUAACAAAUGCCCUGCUUCCAGGAAAAGCCUCUAAGCAUCAGGUAACAUCAAAUCGUACCCCAAACCGACACAGGUGGUCAGGUAGAGAAUACCAAGGCGCUUGAGAGAACUCGGGUGAAGGAACUAGGCAAAAUGGUGCCGUAACUUCGGGAGAAGGCACGCUGGUGUGUAGGUGAAGUCCCUGCGGAUGGAGCUGAGACCAGUCGAAGAUACCAGCUGGCUGCAACUGUUUAUUAAAAACACAGCACUGUGCAAACACGAAAGUGGACGUAUACGGUGUGACGCCUGCCCGGUGCCGGAAGGUUAAUUGAUGGGGUUAUCCGUAAGGAGAAGCUCUUGAUCGAAGCCCCGGUAAACGGCGGCCGUAACUAUAACGGUCCUAAGGUAGCGAAAUUCCUUGUCGGGUAAGUUCCGACCUGCACGAAUGGCGUAAUGAUGGCCAGGCUGUCUCCACCCGAGACUCAGUGAAAUUGAACUCGCUGUGAAGAUGCAGUGUACCCGCGGCAAGACGGAAAGACCCCGUGAACCUUUACUAUAGCUUGACACUGAACAUUGAGCCUUGAUGUGUAGGAUAGGUGGGAGGCUUUGAAGCGUGGACGCCAGUCUGCGUGGAGCCAACCUUGAAAUACCACCCUUUAAUGUUUGAUGUUCUAACGUUGGCCCCUGACCGGGGUUGCGGACAGUGUCUGGUGGGUAGUUUGACUGGGGCGGUCUCCUCCCAAAGCGUAACGGAGGAGCACGAAGGUUAGCUAAUCCUGGUCGGACAUCAGGAGGUUAGUGCAAUGGCAUAAGCUAGCUUGACUGCGAGCGUGACGGCGCGAGCAGGUGCGAAAGCAGGUCAUAGUGAUCCGGUGGUUCUGAAUGGAAGGGCCAUCGCUCAACGGAUAAAAGGUACUCCGGGGAUAACAGGCUGAUACCGCCCAAGAGUUCAUAUCGACGGCGGUGUUUGGCACCUCGAUGUCGGCUCAUCACAUCCUGGGGCUGAAGUAGGUCCCAAGGGUAUGGCUGUUCGCCAUUUAAAGUGGUACGCGAGCUGGGUUUAGAACGUCGUGAGACAGUUCGGUCCCUAUCUGCCGUGGGCGCUGGAGAAUUGAGGGGGCUGCUCCUAGUACGAGAGGACCGGAGUGGACGCAUCACUGGUGUUCGGGUUGUCAUGCCAAUGGCACUGCCCGGUAGCUAAAUGCGGAAGAGAUAAGUGCUGAAAGCAUCUAAGCACGAAACUUGCCCCGAGAUGAGUUCUCCCUGAGACUAUAAGUCUCCUGAAGGAACGUUAAAGACGAUGACGUUGAUAGGCCGGGUGUGUAAGCGCAGCGAUGCGUUGAGCUAACCGGUACUAAUGAACCGUGAGGCUUAACCUU
rnacentral:rRNA from 1 species